rnacentral:rRNA from 1 species
UAGGGAAUCUUCCGCAAUGGGCGAAAGCCUGACGGAGCAACGCCGCGUGAGUGAUGAAGGUCUUCGGAUCGUAAAACUCUGUUAUUUGGGAAGAACAAAUGUGUAAUUAACUAUGCACGUCUUGACGGUACCUAAUCAGAAAGCCACGGCUAACUACGUGCCAGCAGCCGCGGUAAUACGUAGGUGGCAAGCGUUAUCCGGAAUUAUUGGGCGUAAAGCGCGCGUAGGCGGUUUUUUAAGUCUGAUGUGAAAGCCCACGGCUCAACCGUGGAGGGUCAUUGGAAACUGGAAAACUUGAGUGCGGAAGAGGAAAGUGGAAUUCCAGGUGUAGCGGUGAAAUGCGCAGAGAUAUGGAGGAACACCAGUGGCGAAGGCGCCUUUCUGGUCUGUAACUGACGCUGAUGUGCGAAAGCGUGGGGAUCAAACAGG